rnacentral:lncRNA from 1 species
AAGCCAAGUUAUACACCUAAUACAUAUAUACAGUAUUUACAUACAUAUAGUAUUUACAUACAUUGAUAAUUUGACCGAAUGCGUAUUUCGCAAAACUCAUUCGGCCGAAAAUCAAGAAUAAUGCGACGCGUCACUUUUAACGCGUGAAGUUUACCGCACGCGAGAGACGUGGAACUGCUUCGCUGUCUUGAUCUCAUUUUAUGCUUCAUUUGCAAACCGCGGCGGACACAGGACUGACGUCGCGACGGACCGACGGCUCCGGAACGACACUUUUCAAUUGAUCGCUGCGGGAGUAGGACAGCUAAAUGAUUGUGGAUCAAGUAGCGUCGUUUUAAUGUUACAGCGCGAAGAAAUAAUAAUAAAUGAAAGAACAAAGGAAAUAGAAGCCUAAGCGAUAAUCAAAGAUGAUGGAUAGAAUCAUUGUAAUUACAUGGCCGAUAAUUCCAUUCUUGCGCAUCGAUCGAUCAAACAUCGUUUCUACGCAUUGGAAUAAAUUUUCUCUCCAAUAUAUUUCCGUUUAUCCGCCCUUACGACGUACGAGCUGUCUCAAACAGAAUUCUCUGCAUGCCCAGCCACAAUUGUUCGCCAUCUCGUUAUAGAUCGUGAUGAUGACAGCAUGCGGAUGAGCAGAGAGCUAAAAAACAUUCCACGACCAGACUGUCCGUAUGCAGAUUAGUGAGCGUUCAUCCCCGAUAAUCGAUACAUCUCAGCGAUAGUUCAUUUUACUCGGGAACGUUCUGAAAAUGAAAAUCGCCCGAUCACAAUGAAGUCCCCGGCGGCGUGUGGAUACGAACUCUGGUGAGUUUGAUUUUAUUUCUUUCCCUUUCUCCCCAACUGUCUCUCUGCCUGUUCUCUCGUUCGACCGCAUUUGAAUUCUUUACGCACCACUCAUUUUGUACCUGAGGCACGAAAAGUAAUUUCUCUACCAGCAUUCCCUCAAGAUUACGUACUGUGAGCAAUCUUCUGUACCGAAUACAUUAUAAAUUCUCUUUUCUCUGAUUCCUUUUAUCCACCUCGUACGCGUAUACAUACACAAAUACAAUACACAUUCGCUCAAAUAUUUUUUCCUCUCAUGAGGAUAAGCGCGAGACAAUGAAGUUCUCGUUUUCAAAAAACACAAUACGAUCUUAUGUAAACCGCACCUUAAUCGUGAGACUUCGUUUAUCCUGUAAAAGCUUUGUUCUAAUCGAGACGUAGUCUCUUUUGAGCAUUACACAUACACAAGGCGCUUAUCGAACGCGUGUUGGCUAAGUCCACAGAAACUGUCCGAGACGUCUUAUCUGUCUCGGUGGGAUAUAUAUUGAGAAUCCGAUAAGUAUCAGCCCUUUUCCGACAGAACUCGAAAUCGAGGAUUUCCGAGAGGAAUUUACUUCCCUCCAUCUUCGCUUUCCAUAUAUCGAGUGUUUAUUCCUCAAGUGUCCAGGCGAUUCUUGAAUUCAUUUGAAAGUAGAUAUGUAGUUCUCUGUCGAUAUGUCGCUCGUGUCAUUUUGUUCUUUUAGAUAUCAUCUGUAUUUCACGUACUCUUAUAAUAUUUUCGCACUUGUGAAUUUAUAAUAAUCGUCAAACAAAUUUAUAAUAAUCUGCAGGCAAAGUGUCAAUAGAAUUUUCAACGAUCUCGUAGAGAAGUUUUAUGAAUGACAAAAUAGAGUUACAAGACGAGAAUAACUUUAAUAGAUCAUGCAAAUACUUGAUAUACUGUAUAGUCGCAGAGAAUCUAAACAUAAAAAGUGAUCGUAUAAUAUUGUACUAUAUGAUAAGAAUAGCUGAAGGAUCUAAAAGUUUAAU